UGCGAACACAUUGGAGAUGUGGCAGAGCGGCCGAAUGCACUGGUCUUGAAAACCAGCGAUGGGAAACCAUCCCAGGGUUCAAAUCCCU
rnacentral:tRNA from 1 species